UGUGUCAAUUCUAAUUAGUGACAAAACUUGAGGGACCAAAAAGGUUAGGAUGGAAAGAUGGGUUUUAUUUAUGAAAAUCAACACACACAAACACACACAUUCGUGUGUUCUAGAAACGAGCAGGAGCUCUCAUGAGAGCUCAAGAAACCCUAAACGUGAAGAAUCAUCAAAUCGAAGGGCAAAUCAAGGUCUAAAUUCAUGAAUGAACACGGAUUAAUGAUCACCUUCACAAGGGGAUCGUAAGUAUAGGGAUCAUGUCAAGAUGGAUGGAAACAUGGAAGGUUAACGGGUCAAAAGAGGCGAGGAAAUGGAUGCGAAUACGAACACUUAAGGUUGUACGAAUCACAGAUUAUCAUCACGAGGAGUAGCAAUCAAAGACCGAGUCAUAAGAUAGAUUGUACGGGAAUGCUUGAGUAUGUAAUUUGAUAAACAUAAGUUAUGCUUUUAUUUUAUUAAAUGAGUAUGAAGGAUGCAUAUAUUGUAAAAGAGUUAUUUUAAAAUGAACUUUCAAGUAAGUCAAAAAGUUUAUAAUGAAAGAAAUUUUAUGGUA